rnacentral:lncRNA from 1 species
GCGAGGACAAACACUUGUCAAUCGUGUUCUGUAAGCAAAGGAUAAGAAAAAGAAAGAUACUUUAGUUACUUGUUCUUCUUUAGCGAUCGAUUAUUGAUGGGAUCUUUGCUUUAAUCAAGAGUUACUGUCAGUGUUCUUGAAGAUCAGAACUUUAGCUCCCACUCAUGGAGUGAGUGCAGAGAAGACAAGGGGAAGAAGACGAUCGAGACCUCUUGAAAUCUUGCUGCAAAUUAGAUAUCGAAGCAUGCAAGUUAAAGGAGAUGCAUGCCUUUAUUAUAAGGGGACAAAUAUAAAGACAGGUGCACAAACACCGAUUUGUUCGAAGAUUUUGCUAUUGAAGA